ACCCAGCAAGCAAUAGCCGUCAUUUCAACGUCUGGGUUAAAUAUAGACCAGAUAUAGUCCGGCUAUGUGUAACCCACUUUUAGCCCAAAUAACAUUUAAUCUGGAUAAAUGUAUUUUUUUUGCAAAAUAACUUGUGAGAUGUAUGAUAUUCCAUCAUGUACACAGAGUCUAACGUGAUUACAAGUUGUUUGGUUUACUUUAUUUUACAUGUUAUAUGUGUAGGCUGUGCGUAGCCACGAUUUAGCUCGUAUUCAGACCCGGCUAUUGUAGCCCACUUUUUGUCAAAACUGAUUAAUUGUAUUUUUUUGCCAGGCAGUGCAUGAAAUGGUUAAUAUUCAAUCAUGUUCGCAUUGGUAUGAUAUCAAGGUUCAAUACGUCAUUUCACGGCAUGGUAGAUCACGAUUUAGCUCCGAAUUGGACGGGCUAUAUGCGGUCUGCUUUAGCCCACCUGGCGAAAUCAUUGCAAUCUGGGCUCAGAUUUAGACCAGCGACCUAGAAUAUUAGUCUUUGAAAUGUUUUCGCUUACACAGCUUAAUAUAUAUUUUCUGUCAAACAUUCAUACACAAUCUACGAUAAAAAUAUCUAAUCAAAUGCAAUUGCAUUUCCCAACCGCUAGAUGGCACAAUUGAAACACUACUGAGACAUGUCUACUGGAACUAAUGCCAUUGCGUGACUAGAUCACUUAAGCCAAAUCUCGCGAUAAACAUUUCCGCCAUUUUAUUUUACACGAGGCAGCUGUCGGAGUGCAACGGGUGAGCAACAGUCUGAGUGAAAACCUUCACAUUUCUACUUCGAUCUUAAGAAAGCCAUACAGGUUUGGAACCAAGUGAAAACGCAGUGAUGACCAGCUUUCCAUCAGCUAUGGAAUGUGAAAUAAAAAAUGCUAUUUCUAAUCAUUUCAAACAAGCACCAGGGAGGGCAGGGGGUGGGGGUUAUGGAUCUAAAGUAAACAGUUAAUUCUUAAAAAUUAAUUGUUUUACAUAUUUUUCCAAUGUUUUAUUUGUUCAUUUUUAUGUUUGAAUGUUGUCCAAGUUGUUGUUGUCUAUAUAAUUGUUCAAAAUAAAUCCCUUUAUAUUCAAUUUGUUUGGAUGGAUUUUAAUUUAUGAGAACCUGUUAUAUUUGAGUGAAAAGAAUCCUUAUGCCUCAUUUUGUUGUCUAUUACAUGUAUAUGUAGUGUAAUGGAUGACUAGUCUAUUCUUGGGCUAUGGUUAGACGUCUAUUAGAUUUUCACUGACAGCCCAAAAUCAGCCUUGUUUUAGCCUAGACCCAUAUUGCCUGUCUAUUAGACGUAUGUAGUUGUUUAGCGGUCUAAUUGAUGACUAGUCUAUUCUUGGGCUAUGUUUAGACGUCUAUUGGACGUAUAAAUAUAGUCGUUCAAUAGCUGUCUGAUUGUCUAUUCUUGGGCUAUGGUUAGACAUCUAUUAGACGUAUAUAUGUAGUCAUUUAAUAGCUGUCUAUUCUUGGGGUAUGUUUAGACGUCUAUUAGAUUUUCACUGACAGCCCAAAAUUAGCCUCGAUUUAGCCUAGACGUCUCGGCUGUGUUUAGACGGCUAUUAGACGUCUAUUAGACGCAAAAUUGCUUGCUGGGAAGUACUUU